rnacentral:rRNA from 1 species
AGCGAAAUUCCUUGUCGGGUAAGUUCCGACCUGCACGAAUGGCGUAACGACUUGGGCGCUGUCUCAACGAGGGACUCGGUGAAAUUGUAGUAUCGGUGAAGAUGCCGAUUAAUCGCAGCUAGACGGAAAGACCCCGUGAACCUUUACUGCAGCUUGAUAUUGGGAUCCGGUUCAUCCCGUCCAGGAUAGGAGGGAGGCUUUGAAGCCAUGACGCUAGUCGUGGUGGAGCCAUCCUUGGGAUACCUCCCUGGAUGUUUCGGAUUUCUAACCCCAUGCCGUGAUCCGGGUGGGGAACAGUGUCAGGUGGGCAGUUUGACUGGGGCGGUCGCCUCCUAAAAUGUAACGGAGGCGCCCAAAGGUUCCCUCAGCAUGGUCAGAAAUCAUGCGUAGAGCGUAAAGGCAUAAGGGAGCUUGACUGUGAGACCAACAAGUCGAACAGGUACGAAAGUAGGACUUAGUGAUCCGGCCGUGGAGAGUGGAAUUGCGGUCGCUCAACGGAUAAAAGGUACUCCGGGGAUAACAGGCUUAUGAUGCCCAAGAGUCCAUAUCGACGGCAUCGUUUGGCACCUCGAUGUCGGCUCAACGCAUCCUGGGGCUGAAGUAGGUCCCAAGGGUUGGGCUGUUCGCCCAUUAAAGCGUUACGCGAGCUGGGUUCAGAACGUCGUGAGACAGUUCGGUCCCUAUCUGCUGUGAUCGUUGGAGAAUUGACAGGAGCUGCCCCUAGUACGAGAGGACCGGGGUGGACAGACCUCUGGUGUCCCAGUUGUCGUGCCAACGGCAUCGCUGGAUAGCUACGUCUGGAUGGGAUAACCGCUGAAAGCAUCUAAGCGGGAAGCCCACCUGGAGAUGAGUUCUCCCAUCCCUUUAAGGGAGUAAGGGCCCUGGUAGACCACCAGGUUGAUAGGCGAGAUGUGGAAGUGCAGCAAUGCAUGUAGCUAACUCGUACUAAUAGCCCGAGGUCUUAUUUUA